ensembl:lncRNA
UAAUUUUGUGUUUUAUUUUUAAAAGAAACGCCUUUCUGCAGCGUCUACACAUGUCCUUGGCCGAUGUCAUUUGUUCCCGCUCUCUUCCCAUGAACCUGCACCCGAUAAAUACAGGUGUGUCCUGCAUUUCCCCAGUUGUUGAGCACGACGAGCUUUAUAUGCCAAAAAGCUCUGGGGGUCUCGGUCUGCAAAACAAAGAGGACAACAAGAGACUUAACUCCUGGCCUGGAAGCAACCGCAGCUGCCUCCAUGCAUCUCCUUGUCAGCACGCUGCCUGUUGUGGGGCCAGCUCCCUCCUUGGCCGAGGAGGAGGCUUUUCUCUGCUUCCCUUCUCCCAGGCGGCCCCACUAAGGCCCCCUGUGCCCCAGCAGAGCCAAUGUCUGGCCUGUGGGAGCAGGAGGAGCAGCGGUGGAAGCCUGAUGCCAUGUGGUCCCAGGGGACAGCCAUAUGGCUGGGGAGCACACCUGCAUCGGGGCUGUCUAGGAGUGCCCACAUCGACCUCACCUUUCGUCACAGGAGAGGUGCUCCAGCCCUCUGAUCACCUUAGUGGCCCUCCUCUGGACCGCUCCAAGAGCUCCAUGUCCUUGGCUAUUGGGCUAUUAAAAUAGAAUCUGAUCUAACUAAUGAGCGCACUGUCUUGAUGAGCAAAUGGAGCCCCAUUUUCCCUCUGCAUGUCUUACCUAAGGCAGCAGAGGCUUCUGAAAUCCAUUGCUGAAGCCAGUUCAGAUUACUUUUCAUUUCUUAGCCUGAUUUUCUAGUCCAAGUAAAUGAGCUGGAUGUUGAGAAACUCUGGAAAGUUCAGCAUCUGUACCGGAAUGCUGCUUAUGCCGCAGGUUGAAUAUAAUAUGGAAUUUAAGUCACAGAGGAAAAAUGGAAUGUUUAAGAAUGUAAUAACCAUUUAUAUUACAUAUAUAAAUGUCAUAUUGCAGAUACAUGUCAUACAUACAUGUAUACCUGUCUUAUUACAGAUAUACCUCUCAAUGAAUGCAAUAACCUUGCAGAAAGGUGGUGACAGGGCCAAGCUGCAGAACAGACCAAUCCGUAUGUCUCUGAAAUUGCUAGCUUCCUGUCUUGAAGGAUUUUUAUCAUGGUUCAGUUUAUCAUGGACAUGUACAAAAUCUUUUGUAAAAUUCUGGGCAUUGAAGAGCAACUGACAAGACAAAAGUGUCCCCAAAAAUAACAAACGUACAUAUACUCACUCUGAAAAGGCUUGCAUUUUCCAGUUAACAUUUUGACCACAGCAAAAAUCCCAGUAAAUGCAUGUAGCAAUUAAGCACAUGACUACAAGAGUACUAAAGGUACUCUGAACCCCAACAUGUUCAGAACAAUUGUAAAAGUGCUUCUGUUUUUCCCAGGCUAGACACCAUUGGGCACCCUGACCAACCUAAUCUCCAGUGACCAGGUGACCCUCCUGGUCAGUGAGAGAAAGUCUGUUGACGUAGUCUGCCUUGACUUCAGCAAAGCCUUUGACUCUGCCUCCCACAGUAUUCUCCCAGAGAAGUUGGCAGCCCAUGGCUUGGACAGGUACACUCUUUGCUGGGUAAAGAACUGAUUGGAGAGCCAGGCCCAGAGUAUGGUGGUGAAUGGAGUUACAACCAGCUGUGAACAGUCACGAGCACUGGUGCCCAGGUAAGUGGUAGUGUUGCUGUCCUGGAGGUGUUAAGAAAAAUGGAGAUGUUGCACUUAUGGAUGUGGUUUAGCAUGCAUGAUGGGUUCAUGGUUUGAUUUGAUGAUCUUAUUGUUUUCUUCAAACUUAAUGAGUCUUUGAUUCUGUGGUUUAAGGGCUGGAAUAAAUGCUUGUACAAACUACUCAAUGGGCUAUUUUGUGACCCUUUCUAGUACAUGGAUAUACUGUCCAUUCAAUACUUUGGUUGUUCAUUUCAGCAUAGUUCUGAAAUAUCUAAGCAGGACUGGAUUUCAGGGAGAGGUAAUUUUUAUUACUAUUUCAUUAUUAUAGAGCAGCAGAUAUAGCUGGAAACACCAAUGUCAUGGUUUUGUAACUUCGCUAUUGGUAUUCCACAUCAUAACAUCAUGGACAAAAGAGAAGAACUACGUAUCCCAGAGGACCUCACGGUCAGAGAAGGAAGACACAUCACGGAAGAUACGUCAUCUGGUUGCGCGCAGUUUUUUCUUCACUUUCGCUUGUUGCCGGGAGAGGAGUGGGUGUGCUUUCCAAGCCGGGCGCCUUCAUCAAGAUUAAAAGCUGAGAAGGAUCAUAAACUACCACUACCACAGAUUAUAGGAAAACAUGUAUGUAAGGAUACAUCUACCCUGUCUUCCCUACUCAUACAUCUCCAGGCUUUAGGAGGUCUCUUUUGAAAACAAAUAACCAGCACGUGGGCAUGUGAAGAGGAACACAAUUAUUUACACUUGAAUUUCACAUCCUGAAUACUUUGAGGACUCAGUUAAUCUUUUUAUGAAGUCACAUCAAGAAAUUCUGGAAGAUGAUUCAAAUUAAAAUUAAUUAAAUGAAAAGAAGGAAAAACAUGGGGACACUUUUAAAAGAGCAAGUUUCAUUCUUCUCCUUAUUUCUCUUCGGGGAUCAGAGCUCAAGUCUUAUGGCACCAGGUUUCAUGGAACAUAUUGUAUGACUCACGUCCCACAACUCCAGAUGAGAAAAGGAAACAGAAAAUGUUGGUUUUUUUUUUCCAGUCUUCCUCCAGUGUUAUUUUUUAUGUAGUGGAACAGAUUCAGUACUCACAGCACUACUGUAGCAGGAAACCUUAGCUCAGGAAAGGGCACAAUAUGGUUCAAUGUGUCAGUUCCUGGAAAAGAAUAAGGGAGAUGAUGAAGCUGGGUGUAUGCCACAUUUGUUAUUCAGUCUGAUGACAGGGCAAGAAUCAAUCUGACAUUGAGUCACAUUCUGUUCUGAGAAAUGUUUUAAAUUAAAUAGAAGGUAUUCUAGUUUGAAAAGGAAGACAAAACAACAACAAAAAAAAAACAUACGCAUAAUGGCAAGUACAGAUCAGUAGGUAUAAAAACCACACGUUUUUGCCCUAAGAAAUACAGCAGAACAAGACUUUUUUUAGAAAUGUGGAAAAGAUUGGGUUACUUUGUUUGGUUUUAAGUAAAUAAAGAUAUAAUUCUGCUCUUUCUGUAUUCAAGAGGAACUCUGUCAUCGCAAAAACUCAUUUUAAAUGUUCAGAAUUAAAAACAAAAUGAGCUGUAAGAUUUUCAUAUUUCUUCUAG